GUAAAAUAACGUGUAAAACUGACUGACGGAGUUGUCCUUUAGAUAAAAUUGCUUUGACUCUUUGGGCGCUUUCCAUUAACGGCCAGACCGGUCAGAACGGUCAAAUUGUUGAAUGGAACAUAAAAGAGGGGGGUAAUGGGGGGGUACCGAUCCUGAAGCACGAAAAAUAAUAUGCAGCGAUCUUGAAGCAUGAAAAAUAAAAGAAGGAAGUCCUGAAGCACG
rnacentral:lncRNA from 1 species